UUCAGAGGGAGUUACCUAAAAAGAGGUGUGGGUAGUCCUUUCGCAUCUCUAAUUCAAGCUCCCAGGUAUGUUCUUCAAUACCUGCCCGACUCCAAGCUACUUUCACCAAAGAAACUUCCUUUCCGCGGAGACGUUUGGUGCUGGUAUCAUCAAUCCUAACCGGAGUUACUGGAAGCGUCAGGUCUUCUCUCACUUGGACUGAUUCCG
rnacentral:lncRNA from 1 species